rnacentral:rRNA from 1 species
UACGGAGGGUGCAAGCGUUGUCCGGAAUCACUGGGCGUAAAGGGCGCGUAGGCGGCUCAUGAAGGCUGUGGUGAAAGUCCGGGGCUCAACCUCGGAUCGGCCGUGGCGACUCGUGGGCUGGAGCACUGUAGAGGGGGGUAGAAUUCCACGUGUAGCAGUGAAAUGCGUAGAGAUGUGGAGGAACACCGGUGGCGAAGGCGGCCAACUGGACGAAUACUGACGCUGAGACUCGAAAGCGUGGGGAGCAAACAGG